GCUGGCGGCAGGCUUAACACAUGCAAGUCGAGUCGGGCGUAGCAAUACGUCAGCGGCAGACGGGUGAGCUAACGCGUGGGAACAUACCUUUUGGUUCGGAACAACCCAGGGAAACUUGGGCUAACUAACGGAUAAGCCCUUACGGGGAAAGAUUUAUCGCCGAAAGAUUGGCCCGCGUCUGAUUAGCUAGUUGGUGAGGUAACGGCUCACCAAGGCGACGAUCAGUAGCUGGUCUGAGAGGAUGAUCAUGCCACAUUGGGACUGAGACACGGCCCAAACUCCUACGGGAGGCAGCAGUGGGGAAUAUUGGACAAUGGGCGCAAGCCUGAUCCAGCCAUGCCGCGUGAGUGAUGAAGGCCCUAGGGUUGUAAAGCUCUUUUGUGCGGGAAGAUAAUGACGGUACCGCAAGAAUAAGCCCCGGCUAACUUCGUGCCAGCAGCCGCGGUAAUACGAAGGGGGCUAGCGUUGCUCGGAAUCACUGGGCGUAAAGGGUGCGUAGGCGGGUCUUUAAGUCAGGGGUGAAAUCCUGGAGCUCAACUCCAGAACUGCCUUUGAUACUGAGGAUCUUGAGUUCGGGAGAGGUGAGUGGAACUGCGAGUGUAGAGGUGAAAUUCGUAGAUAUUCGCAAGA
rnacentral:rRNA from 1 species